UGCAGAACAACCCUAAGAACAGACAGGUCAUCCUGGUGUGAAUGCACUAUAGGCUGCCUGCCAAUAAGCAUGCAAGCCCACCGAGGGUAGAUAAUGCAGGGAGCAAGGUUUUAAUACUUACUGCAAGAUCCUAGUGCCCUAAUGAUGCAUUUACACUAUUCUGUUUGGGGACAGUGCCCCACAGCAGGACUCCAGGGAAUAAAAUUGGGACGACAGGAAAGGAUCCUAAAAUUGGAGCUGUCCUGCCAAUAUCGCUAAUUCAAUGAGGGUUAAUGAUGCGUUUGCAGUGAAACAUAGUGGAAUUACAACUCUGGCAGCAUCAUUAAAUACCUCUAGCUGUGUAAGUGCACAUCACUGACAUCAUCAUGGUGCUACAGUAGCCAUUUAAGAAGCGAUCAAAAUUAUUGGCCAACUUCUUCAUACAAUUGCAUUGAAUAAAGAAGUCAGUUGAAGUAUAUACACUGCUCAAAAAAAUAAAGGGAACACAAAAAUAACAUCCUAGAUCUGAAUGUAUUAAAUAUUCUUCUGAUAUACUUUGUUCUUUACAUAGUUGAAUGUGCUGACAACAAAAUCACACAAAAAUUAAAAAAUGGAAAUCAAAAUUUUCAACCAAUGGAGGUCUGGAUUUGGAGGCUGAUCCAACUUUGAUGUAAUGUCCUUAAAACAAGUCAAAAUGAGGCUCAGUAGUGUGUGUGGCCUCCACGUGCCUGUAUGACCUCGCUACAACGCCUGUGCAUGCUCCUGAUGAGGUGGCAGACGCUCUCCUCCCAGACCUGGACUAAAGCAUCCGUCAACUCGUGGACAGUCUGUGGUGCAACGUGACGUUGGUGAACGGAGCGAGAUAUGAUGUCCCAGAUGUGCUCAAUUGGAUUCAGGUCUGGGGAACAGGCAGGUCAGUCUAUAGCAUCAAUGCCUUCGUCUUGCAGGAACUGCUGACACACUCCAGCCACAUGAGGUCUAGCAUUGUCUUGCAUUAGGAGGAACCCAGGGCCAACCACACCAGCAUAUGGUCUCACAAGGGGUCUGAGGAUCUCAUCUCGGUACCUAAUGGCAGUCAGGCUACCUCUGGCAAGCACAUGGAGGGCUGUGUGCCCCCUCCUCUCCCCCCUUCCCCACACCAUUACUGACACACUGCCAAACUGGUCAUGCUGGAGGAUGUUGCAGGCAGCAGAACGUUCUCCUCUGCAUCUCCAGACUCUGUCACGUCUGUCACAUGUGCUCAGUGUGAACCUGCUUUCAUCUGUGAAGAGCACAGGGCGCCAGUGGCGAAUUUGCCAAUCUUGAUGUUCUCUGGCAAAUGCCAAACGUCCUGCACGGUGUUAGGCGGUAAGCACAACCCCCACCUGUGGAUGUCAGGCCCUCAUGGAGUCUGUUUCUGACCAUUUGAGCAGACACAUGCACAUUUGUGACGUGCUGGAGGUCAUUUUGCAGGACUCUGGCAGUGCUUCUCCUGUUCAAAGUGCUUUGAUAAAGACCACAGCGGUCGAAACGCGUCAGUGCAGCUUUGUAUAGGAGAUUCUGUUUGAGCUGUAUUUUAUGUUACCAAUAAAGAUUUUUGUUCCUGUAUCUACCUUCCACCUGGCGUUUAUCUAAG